rnacentral:rRNA from 1 species
UACGUAGGGUGCAAGCGUUAAUCGGAAUUACUGGGCGUAAAGCGUGCGCAGGCGGUCUUGCAAGACAGAUGUGAAAUCCCCGGGCUCAACCUGGGAACUGCAUUUGUGACUGCAGGGCUGGAGUGCGGCAGAGGGGGAUGGAAUUCCGCGUGUAGCAGUGAAAUGCGUAGAUAUGCGGAGGAACACCGAUGGCGAAGGCAAUCCCCUGGGCCUGCACUGACGCUCAUGCACGAAAGCGUGGGGAGCAAACAGG